rnacentral:rRNA from 1 species
GACGGAGGAGGCAAUCGUUAUCCGGAAUUAUUGGGCGUAAAGGGUACGUAGGCGGCUGGUCAAGUCUGGGGUUAAAGGCCACAGCUCAACUGUGGGAAGGCCCUGGAAACUGACCGGCUAGAGUGAGGUAGGGGUUGCGGGAAUUCCCGGUGUAGCGGUGAAAUGCGUAGAGAUCGGGAAGAACACCUGAGGCGGAAGCGCGCAACUGGGCCUCAACUGACGCUGAGGUACGAAAGCUAGGGGAGAGAAUGGG